CCUAGGGGUGGCUGCAGUGGGGAAUAUUGGACAAUGGGCGAAAGCCUGAUCCAGCCAUGCCGCGUGUGUGAAGAAGGCCUUCGGGUUGUAAAGCACUUUCAGUGGGGAAGAAAGCCUUGGGGCUAAUACCCUCGAGGAAGGACAUCACCCACAGAAGAAGCACCGGCUAACUCCGUGCCAGCAGCCGCGGUAAUACGGAGGGUGCGAGCGUUAAUCGGAAUUACUGGGCGUAAAGCGCGCGUAGGCGGUCUGAUAAGCCGGUUGUGAAAGCCCCGGGCUCAACCUGGGAACGGCAUCCGGAACUGUCAGGCUAGAGUGCAGGAGAGGAAGGUAGAAUUCCCGGUGUAGCGGUGAAAUGCGUAGAGAUCGGGAGGAAUACCAGUGGCGAAGGCGGCCUUCUGGACUGACACUGACGCUGAGGUGCGAAAGCGUGGGUAGCAAACAGGAGUAGAUACCCCAGUAGUC
rnacentral:rRNA from 1 species